rnacentral:rRNA from 1 species
CAUGAUGAACGCUAGCGACAGGCUUAACACAUGCAAGUCGAGGGGCAGCACAGGUAGCAAUACCGGGUGGCGACCGGCGCACGGGUGAGUAACGCGUAUGCAACUUACCUAUCAGAGGGGGAUAACCCGGCGAAAGUCGGACUAAUACCGCAUGAAGCAGGGGUCCCGCAUGGGGAUAUUUGCUAAAGAUUCAUCGCUGAUAGAUAGGCAUGCGUUCCAUUAAGCAGUUGGCGGGGUAACGGCCCACCAAACCGACGAUGGAUAGGGGUUCUGAGAGGAAGGUCCCCCACAUUGGUACUGAGACACGGACCAAACUCCUACGGGAGGCAGCAGUGAGGAAUAUUGGUCAAUGGCCGAGAGGCUGAACCAGCCAAGUCGCGUGAGGGAUGAAGGUUCUAUGGAUCGUAAACCUCUUUUAUAAGGGAAUAAAGUGCGGGACGUGUCCCGUUUUGUAUGUACCUUAUGAAUAAGGAUCGGCUAACUCCGUGCCAGCAGCCGCGGUAAUACGGAGGAUCCGAGCGUUAUCCGGAUUUAUUGGGUUUAAAGGGUGCGUAGGCGGCCUUUUAAGUCAGCGGUGAAAGUCUGUGGCUCAACCAUAGAAUUGCCGUUGAAACUGGGGGGCUUGAGUAUGUUUGAGGCAGGCGGAAUGCGUGGUGUAGCGGUGAAAUGCAUAGAUAUCACGCACAACCCCGAUUGCGAAGGCAGCCUGCCUAGCCAUUACUGACGCUGAUGCACGAAAGCGUGGGGAUCAAACAGGAUUAGAUACCCUGGUAGUCCACGCAGUAAACGAUGAUCACUAGCUGUUUGCGAUACACUGUAAGCGGCACAGCGAAAGCGUUAAGUGAUCCACCUGGGGAGUACGCCGGCAACGGUGAAACUCAAAGGAAUUGACGGGGGCCCGCACAAGCGGAGGAACAUGUGGUUUAAUUCGAUGAUACGCGAGGAACCUUACCCGGGUUUGAACGCAUUCGGACCGAGGUGGAAACACCUUUUCUAGCAAUAGCCGUUUGCGAGGUGCUGCAUGGUUGUCGUCAGCUCGUGCCGUGAGGUGUCGGCUUAAGUGCCAUAACGAGCGCAACCCUUGCCACUAGUUACUAACAGGUAAAGCUGAGGACUCUGGUGGGACUGCCAGCGUAAGCUGCGAGGAAGGCGGGGAUGACGUCAAAUCAGCACGGCCCUUACAUCCGGGGCGACACACGUGUUACAAUGGCGUGGACAAAGGGAAGCCACCUGGCGACAGGGAGCGAAUCCCCAAACCACGUCUCAGUUCGGAUCGGAGUCUGCAACCCGACUCCGUGAAGCUGGAUUCGCUAGUAAUCGCGCAUCAGCCAUGGCGCGGUGAAUACGUUCCCGGGCCUUGUACACACCGCCCGUCAAGCCAUGGGAGCCGGGGGUACCUGAAGUCCGUAACCGCGAGGAUCGGCCUAGGGUAAAACU